ACAUGACUACAACUUAGCGUUAAUGGACUAGAUCCCAUUUGAAAUAUGCAGUUAAGCGCACUCGGGUUAGAGUAGUAUUGAGAUGGGUGACCACCCGGGAAGUCCUAGUAUUUUACAUGCC
rfam:Picea glauca, whole genome shotgun sequence.